rnacentral:rRNA from 1 species
GACGAACGCUGGCGGCGUGCUUAACACAUGCAAGUCGAACGGUAAGGCCCUGCCUUUGUGGGGUGCUCGAGUGGCGAACGGGUGAGUAACACGUGAGUAACCUGCCCUUGACUUUGGGAUAACUCUAGGAAACUGGGGCUAAUACCGGAUAGGACCUCCUGCUGCAUGGUGGGGGUUGGAGAGUUUCGGCGGUGGGGGAUGGCCUCGCGGCUUAUCAGCUUGUUGGUGGGGUAGUGGCAUACCAAGGCCUUGACGGGUAGCCGGCCUGAGAGGGUGAACGGCCACAUUGGGACUGAGAUACGGCCCAGACUCCUACGGGAGGCAGCAGUGGGGAAUAUUGCACAAUGGGCGGAAGCCUGAUGCAGCGACGCCGCGUGCGGGAUGACGGCCUUCGGGUUGUAAACCGCUUUCGCCUGUGACGAAGCGUGAGUGACGGUAAUGGGUAAAGAAGCACCGGCUAACUACGUG